rnacentral:rRNA from 1 species
CCUACGGGUAGCAGCAGUGGGGAAUAUUGGACAAUGGGCGAAAGCCUGAUCCAGCCAUGCCGCGUGUGUGAAGAAGGCCUUCGGGUUGUAAAGCACUUUCAGUGGGGAAGAAAGCCUUGGGGCUAAUACCCUCGAGGAAGGACAUCACCCACAGAAGAAGCACCGGCUAACUCCGUGCCAGCAGCCGCGGUAAUACGGAGGGGUGCGAGCGUUAAUCGGAAUUACUGGGCGUAAAGCGCGCGUAGGCGGUCUGAUAAGCCGGUUGUGAAAGCCCCGGGCUCAACCUGGGAACGGCAUCCGGAACUGUCAGGCUAGAGUGCAGGAGAGGAAGGUAGAAUUCCCGGUGUAGCGGUGAAAUGCGUAGAGAUCGGGAGGAAUACCAGUGGCGAAGGCGGCCUUCUGGACUGACACUGACGCUGAGGUGCGAAAGCGUGGGUAGCAAACAGGAUUAGAUACCCGUGUAGUC